AGCAGCCGCGGUAAUUCCAGCUCCAAUAGCGUAUAUUAAAGUUGUUGCAGUUAAAAAGCUCGUAGUUGAAUUUCGGGGUUAGCAAGUUGGUCGUGCCUUUGGUAUGCACUGGCUUUGCUGAUUCCUCCUUCUUGAAGAACUGUGAUGCUAUUAAUUUGGUGUUGCAGGGAAACAGGACUGUUACUUUGAAAAAUUAGAGUGUUUAAAGCAGGCUAACGCUUGAAUACAUUAGCAUGGAAUAAUGAAAUAGGACGUUUGAUCCUAUUUUGUUGGUUUCUAGGAUUGACGUAAUGAUUAAUAGGGAUAGUUGGGGGCAUUAGUAUUCAAUUGUCAGAGGUGAAAUUCUUGGAUUUAUUGAAGACUAACUACUGCGAAAGCAUUUGCCAAGGAUGUUUUCAUUAAUCAAGAACGAAAGUUAGGGGAUCGAAGACGAUCAGAUACCGUCGUAGUCUUAACCAUAAACUAUGCCGACUAGGGAUCGGAUGAUGUUAAUUUUUAAUGACUCG
rnacentral:rRNA from 1 species